rnacentral:rRNA from 1 species
GACGAACGCUGGCGGCGUGCCUAAUACAUGCAAGUAGAACGCACAGUUUAUACCGUAGCUUGCUACACCAUAGACUGUGAGUUGCGAACGGGUGAGUAACGCGUAGGUAACCUGCCUGGUAGCGGGGGAUAACUAUUGGAAACGAUAGCUAAUACCGCAUAAUAUUAAUUAUUGCAUGAUAAUUAAUUGAAAGGUGCAAUUGCACCACUACCAGAUGGACCUUCGUUGUAUUAGCUAGUAGGUGAGGUAACGGCUCACCUAGGCGACGAUACAUAGCCGACCUGAGAGGGUGAUCGGCCACACUGGGACUGGGACACGGCCCAGACUCCUACGGGAGGCAGCAGUAGGGGAUCUUCGGCAAUGGACGAAAGUCUGACCGAGCAACGCCGCGUGAGUGAAGAAGGUUUUCGGAUCGUAAAGCUCUGUUGUAAGAGAAGAACGGGUGUGAGAGUGGAAAGUUCACACUGUGACGGUAUCUUACCAGAAAGGGACGGCUAACUACGUG